UAUUGUAUAAGAACCCGCAAUGCUAAAACUUUCUUACAAGAUAAUUUACCCAAUUAACUUUCCAUAAGAAAAGUUUAACUCUUGGUGCCAAUGUCAUUUUUCAAAUUCAAUUGAAAUUUAUCUGAUUGGUAUAGUUCUAAUCAGAUUGUAUAACUGAAUAAAUGUCUUGUGCAUUAACAUGGCUUCUUCCUAUUGCACUCCAUAGCAGCAUAUCAUUAUAUGAAAAUUUCGACACCAGAAUAUGUAUCAUUUGCUGAAAGUUCUAUAUGACAAUAGUUGCUCAAGUAACCCCCUAUUCCAACUAUCCCUAGAUUAUAGGUAAGAGACCUUUUGACAUUGAUUACAGAGCUGAGUAUUAAUAGAAUUUG
rnacentral:lncRNA from 1 species